rnacentral:rRNA from 1 species
UCCAGACUCCUACGGGAGGCAGCAGUGGGGAAUAUUGCACAAUGGGGGAAACCCUGAUGCAGCGACGCCGCGUGAGUGAAGAAGUAUUUCGGUAUGUAAAGCUCUAUCAGCAGGGAAGAAAAUGACGGUACCUGACUAAGAAGCCCCGGCUAACUACGUGCCAGCAGCCGCGGUAAUACGUAGGGGGCAAGCGUUAUCCGGAUUUACCGGGUGUAAAGGGAGCGUAGACGGCAUGGCAAGUCAGAUGUGAAAGCCCGGGGCUCAACCCCGGGACUGCAUUUGAAACUGCCAGGCUGGAGUGCAGGAGAGGUAAGUGGAAUUCCUAGUGUAGCGGUGAAAUGCGUAGAUAUUAGGAGGAACACCAGUGGCGAAGGCGGCUUACUGGACUGUAACUGACGUUGAGGCUCGAAAGCGUGGGGAGCAAACAGGAUUAGAUACCCUCGUAAC